ensembl:lncRNA
CUGAGCUGAGUUUGGUAAAGGGUGUGUACAAAUGUGUGGGCAGGGUUAAGGGAAACAGAAAGGAAUGAUGGGAUGAAACCCCAAGACUGCCAGCAGAAGGGAGCUAUUAAUACCACCACUUAGGAAAAGAGAAGGGAGACCACCAGAACCAGGAGCGAGAGCUGUGUGGAGAGCGGCACACAAGAGAAGACUCAGCAGAGGACUGAUGCUGAAGCUGAAGUUCCAAUACUCUGGCCACCUGAUGUGAAGAACUGACUCAUUGGAAAAGACCUGGAUGCUGGGAAAGAUCGAAGGCAGGCAGAGAAGGAGACGACAGAGGAUGAGAUGGUUGGAUGGCAUCAUUGACUCAAUGGACGUGAGUCUGAGCAAGCUCUGGGAGCUGGUGAAGGAUAUGGAAGCUUGGCUUGCUACAGUCUGUUGGGUCGCAAAGAGUUGGACGUGACUGAGUGACCGAACAACAAUAAACCAGUCUUUUUACUUUAGGAUCUCUCAGAGCCAUUUCUGUGGUAAGACGCAUUAAUGGAUCCCCAUGCAGGGGUACAGAAUGCAGCAGUUUCCAAAUUCAUUUUAAAUGAAAAACUCAAUUUUUGCUGAAGUUGCUGUGUUUGAGAAAUUUAUAGAAGAAAAACUGUGGUUCUUAGGGGGACUGUAACAGAUGAAGUGGCUCUUGGUAGAUGUUUUUUAAGCAUAUAAAAGUGAGAACUUAGUAGGGGGUAGAAGGCAGCAGGGUUGUAAGCAGCAGAAACAUCAGAAGCAAUGAACUGGAAGCCAGAGGGGUGAUCCCCUGGACAUAUCUCUGUGAUAGUGCCAGGUCAAUUGUUAAGAGUGAUUGGGGCCAUAACGCAACCCUGUUUCCUUAGUUUAAAUCUAACAGAGAUUACAUAUAUUCUACACAUAUUAUUUUUUAAUAUUUAUUUUGUUUUUGUUGGAAUAUAGUUGCCUCACACUGCUGUGUCAGCCUCUGCUGUGAAUCAGCCAUAAUUAUUCAUAUAUCCCCUCUUUUUUGGAUAUCCUUCCCAAUUUAGGUCACCACAGAGCACCUAAUAGAGUUCCCUGUGCUACACAGUAGGUUUUCAUUCAGUUCAGUUCAGUCGCUCAGUGGUGUCCAGCUCUUUGCGACCCCAUGGACUGCAGCAUGCCAAGCUUUCGUGUCCAUCACCAAUUCCCCGAGCUUACUCAAACUCAGGUCCAUUGAGUUGGUGAUGCCAUCCAACCACUUCAUCCUCUGUCAUUCCCUUCUCCUCCUGCCUUCUAUCUUUCCCAGCAUCAGGGUCUUUUCCAAUGAGUUGGCUCUUUUCAUCAGAUGAUCAAUGUCUUGGAGCUUCAGCUUCACAGUCCUUCCAGGGAAUAUUCAGGGUUGAUUUCCUUUAGGACUAACUGGUUUGAUCUUGCAGUUCAAGGGGAAGAAUAUAUAUACAAAUACACGAUAGUUCUUUUUCCCUUUCUGACUUAGUUCAUUCUGUAUGAGUCUCUAGAUCCACAUAUUUUACACACCUUAACCCUUCUUCCUGUCCCCGGAACCCAGAGGCUAGGUGCCUAACAGCAGGGCUUCCUUGAUUUUGACCCUCAGUUUGCUUCACUUUGCCUCAGAAGCGGCUAUGUGUGAGAGAUCACAAACUGGUUUUCUUCUAAUUUCACAUCCUUCAGACAAUUCCCUUCUUGUUCUGUGCCACUGUUUACCUCUCUGUGAACUAAGAGAAGGAGACGCAGGCUCCCUGCCAGGCUUGGCUCAGAUGCCUGGGGGGAAUUUUUUUUUUUUUUUAAUAACCUGCCAAAGGAAACCUCAGUUCUAAGACUGUAACUUUGAACAACUUAUUGAACAGCUUAGGCCUUUGAUCUAUUUGUAAAAGAACAUAAUUAUGCCUCACUGUUUCCGGAGAAUUCAGGGAGAUUCAAGAAAGACUGUGUCAUGAAAAGCGUUUUGCAAACAAGAAAUAAAAUAUUAGAAAUGUAAAUAUUGUUAGUAUUGUACAUACGAUGGAGAGAAGGGAGGGGAGAGUGGAGAGGAAAGGCAGGUGAGAAGGCGCCAGAAUUCCACCUUGGCUCAGAGCGCAGAAUAAGGCACAGCACUCCGAUGCAACCUAUAGCUCAGCCACCCACAUAACUAGCUGCCUCUCCAUGGGCAAUUAAGCCCCUGGAAGCCCAUCUUAUCUAUAAAAGGAGGAUAACAUUGUUCGGUUCGCUGCUUGCGAGGUUACAUGAGGUAAAUCCUGCAAAGCAAGCGGUGCAGUGUACAUAGUAAUUGGCUCGCAGUAAAUGUUCGUAAUAUUACUACUAAUUAUUCUUGCCAUCGACAUAAUGGGGCCAAACAGGAAAAAAAAAAAGAGAGAGAGAGAUAAGCUAUUUUUGGUCACAAUCGCCUAGACGCAAAGAUCGCCUAAGGUCGCGCGGUCGAGGGAACCUUAACACCACCCACCCAGCGUGACAGCCCGAGCCCCCAAGCUCUCCGCGGAAGAGAAAACCCCGGAACGCAAGCCAAGAGCGCGCGGCCGCGCCCCGCCCACACGGCCGCUCCCAGCCCACACGGCCGCACGCGAGGGGC